UAAAUAUUCGGUCUUCCAGAAGUAGACUUGAUGGCAAGAGCCUCAAACAAAAAGGUUCACAAUUUUGCCUCCCUAUGCAGAACAGAUCGACCCAAUUGGAUAGACGCUUUAUCAAUAGAGUGGAACUUCCGACUGGCUUAUGUAUUUCCACCUCUGCCCUUAAUCCCAAAGGUCCUUCUCAAGAUAAGAACAGACAGAGCGAGGGUAUUGGCGAUAAUCCCAUAUUGGCCAAACAGUCUGGUUUGCGGCCAUAAAGGAAAUGACCAUCUAUUAUUGGGAACUUCCAAGAUCAAAUCUACUUAUUGUGAACCGGGACCUGCCCGUGAAAGUCCUAGAAACUUUCAGGUUGACAGCUUGGCUACUGCAAGGCUAAUCCUUCAAAACCAAGGUUUACAAGAAGACAGAAUAGCAAUCUUACUCCACUCGACUAGAAAAUCUACUUCUAAGAUUUACUUUAGGAUUUGGUCUAAAUUUCUACACUGGGGUAAGGAACACCAGUGCCCAAUUUUGCAUCCAUCUAUAGAUAACAUUCUCCAUUUUUUUACAAGAUGGGUUUUCAGCUGGGUUGAGUGUCUCCACACUCAAGGUGCAUGUAUCGG